AUCCAAGGAAGGCAGCAGGCGCGCAAAUUACCCACUCCCGGAACGGGGAGGUAGUGACGAAAAAUAACAAUACGGGACUCUUUUGAGACCCCGUAAUUGGAAUGAGUACACUCUAAAUCCUUUAACCAGGAUCCAUUGGAGGGCAAGUCUGGUGCCAGCAGCCGCGGUAAUUCCAGCUCCAAUAGCGUAUAUUAAAGUUGUUGCGGUUAAAAAGCUCGUAGUUGGAUCUCAGUUCCAGACGAGUGGUCCGCCUACCGGUGGUUACCGCUCGUUCUGAACACGCAGUCGACUUCCCUUGAUGAUCUUCACCGGUUGUCUUGGGUGGUCGACAAGUUUACUUUGAAAAAAUUAGAGUGCUCAAAGCAGGCGUGACGCCUGAAUAAUGGUGCAUGGAAUAAUGGAAUAGGACCUCGGUUCUAUUUUGUUGGUUUUCGGAACACGAGGUAAUGAUUAAGAGGGACAGACGGGGGCAUUCGUAUUGCGACGCUAGAGGUGAAAUUCUUGGACCGUCGCAAGACGAACUACUGCGAAAGCAUUUGCCAAGAAUGUUUCCAUUAAUCAAGAACGAAAGUUAGAGGUUCGAAGGCGAUCAGAUACCGCCCUAGUUCUAACCAUAAACGAUGCCAGCCAGCGAUCCGGCUGUGUUCCUCAAAUGACACGCCGGGCAGCUUCCGGGAAACCAAAGCUUUUGGGUUCCGGGGGAAGUAUGGUUGCAAAGCUGAAACUUAAAGGAAUUGACGGAAGGGCACUACAAGGAGUGGAGCCUGCGGCUUAAUUUGACUCAACACGGGACAACUCACCCGGCCCGAACACAGGAAGGAUUGACAGAUUAAGAGCUCUUUCUUGAUUCUGCGGGUGGUGGUGCAUGGCCGUUCUUAGUUGGUGGAGCGAUUUGUCUGGUUUAUUCCGAUAACGAGCGAGACUCUAGCCUACUAAAUAGACGCUCCGAUCUCUCCGGUCGGACGUUCUUCUUAGAGGGACAAGCGGCGUUUAGCCGCACGAGACAGAGCAAUAACAGGUCUGUAAUGCCCUUAGAUGUUCGGGGCCGCACGCGCGCUACAUUGAAGGAAUCAGCGUGUGCUUUCCCGGCCCGACAGGGCUGGGUAACCCGUUGAACCUCCUUCGUGCUGGGGAUAGGGGCUUGUAAUUCUUCCCCUUGAACGAGGAACUCCUAGUAAGCAUGAGUCAUUAGCUCGUGUUGAUUAAGUCCCUGCCCUUUGUACACACCGCCCGUCGCUACUACCGAUUGAAUGAUUUAGUGAGGUCUUCGGACUGGCGCACGGAGAGGCCUCCGGGUCUCGCCGCCGUGCCGGAAAGAUGACCAAACUUGAUCAUUUAGAGGAAGUAAA
rnacentral:rRNA from 1 species